UUUCCUUUCUAGGACAAUCUGAUAAAAUUGAAAUAAUAUAGAGAAGAUAGUAUGGUUCAUGCGCAAAAAAGACACACAAAUAAAAAAUAGAAAUUAUUCUUCU